AUGACGAGAUGGUGUUAUCACAUUUUAACACUUAAAAAAGGAAAUGUUUACUUGUCUGCACAAAGCCUUUCAUAUGCUACAUUGAUACAUAAAGCACCAUUCCAAGAUUUUAAGUGUGUAAAAUGUUCAAUUAAAACUUCCAAGGAUUUUGUUUUUAAGACUGAAGGUUUAACUUUGUUCUAACAACUAGGAUCUGGACAAAACUGAUAAGAAUUAUAUUUCCCUUGUCCAGCUUUAAAAUGGUCCCUUUGGUCCUUUCUCAUUAAUGUCUGAUCACUUCUUUUAAAGGAGAGUAGUAAACGGAAGAAUUCUUCAUCAAGCUUUUACGUAUUUGGUAGUGAGGUUGGAAUCUCAAAGGAACAAUUCCCCAAAAUCCAGUAAAUGUCAAGUGUUAAUCGCUCAGUCAUGUCUGACUCUUUGCGACCCCAUGGACUAUAGCCAGGCAGGCUCAUCUAUCUGGCCAUGGAAUUCUCCAGGAAGAAUACUGGAGUGGGUUGCCAUUCCCUUCUCCAGGCAGAACUGCUAAAAUUUCUUUCAUUAAAUGUUUGGUUAAGUUUCCCAUUGAAGCAAUCUAGUCCUGGAGCUUUCUUUGUAGGAAGGUUUUAAAUCGUAAAUUCAAUGUCUUUAACAGAUAAAGCAUAAUUCAAGUUAUCUAUUUCUUCUUGAGUGAGCUUUGGUAGUUUGUGCUUUUCAAGGAAUUUAUCUAUUUUAUCUGUUGUUGAACUGAUCGGCAUAAAGUUAUUCUUUCACUCGUAUCACUUUUAAUACGAUUAGGCUCUAUAGUUACAUUCCUGCUCUCAUUCCUGAUAAUGGUUAACUUGUAUUUUAUUGUUGUUUUUGUUUUUCUGAUCAGUCUGGGUAGAAGUUUAUCCUUUUAUCUCUCAGUCAGUUUCUGGUUUCAUUGANNNNNNNNNNNNNNNNNNNNNNNNNNNNNNNNNNNNNNNNNNNNNNNNNNNNNNNNNNNNNNNNNNNNNNNNNNNNNNNNNNNNNNNNNNNNNNNNNNNCAGGCAAGGAUACUGGAGUGGGUUACCAUUCCCUUCUCCAGGGGAUCUUCUGACCCAGGGAUCAAACCCAGGUCUUCUGCACUGCAGGUGGAGUCUUUACCAUCUGAGCCACCAGGGAAGCCUAGUAAAUGUAAAGAUUACCCAUUAUUUUCAUAUAUGCAGAGGUGCAAGAUUUAAAACCCCAAAACACAACCUAAGUCUCUGAAAUAAAAUAGUAUACUUCGGUCUGGUUUUAAAAGAAUGCCUAUACAUUUUCAGUUUUCUUUUCUAGGCAAGUAAUACCUUUUUUCCAACUGACACAGCUGAUGUUUGAAACUUAGCAUUUCCAUGGUGUUACACCAGACUCUAAAAUGCAUUCCCUAUGAUUACCUAAAAUAGAGGGGCACAAAACACACUGAAAAAGAGCUCUGCAAAAAUCUGACCAAGUUUUAUGCUGUUGUACUCUCAGAGCAAACCAAAUAGAAAAAAACAUAAUGACCAGGUAGAUUAUAAACGGAGGUAGUAAUCCUGCAAGCACUUCUGAUGAAAAAUUUGUCCUCACUCUGAAACAACUUCAAAAUUAAGAGGUCAUCUAUUCUGCUCGUGCUUUCACUGGUAAUAGGAGGCAUGUGACGUAAAAACAGACCAGAAAGUUGUUGGUUAAUAUUCCCUCAACCUAACAGACCCACAUCAUGUAGUGCUAACUAAAACAAACACAAUCAGUCACUGCAGAAACUUCAAUUCAAAAGUAAGCUUUGGGAUGAAGAUAUUUUAAAUCUAUAGAUCUUUCCUGAAACUAUAGGCCUUGCCAUUACUUCUCUAUUAAAAAAGAAGAACACAAUAAACUUGGAUGUUGACUGAAGCCUAUAUUUUACACUUCAAACUGGAAAAUUCAGAACUGCCCAUUUCCAAGUUUACAGUAUCACCCUGAUAAGUUAUAAAAGUGACGGUGCUGAGGCAUGAUAUUAAUAACACUGGUUUUCUUUUGAAAGCAUAUACAACAAAACCAAAUUGCUCUGAGAUGUCUCUUGUUCUUCUUCCUAAGAAAAUUCUAAGCUUUUAAAUUUAAAAGCAACUAUGACACAAUUAUUACUUUCUGGAAUCUUUUAACAAUUUCUACCUGUUGAAGACACGAAGAACCACUCAAGUGGAAAUUACAAUAACAUAUACAGAAUCCUCUCCAAAAAAGAGUUUAUAAAGAACUUAAAUAUAUUAGAUGUUAAAAUUUGGCAGAAAUAUGCAGCUUUCCCAAAGUAGCAGAAAGUACUGCACAUUCUUGUGGCAGUCCUUGGAAACAUUUCCUAGGUAGGACUUAACCUAGAAAUAAAAACCAACCACAGAUUUCAACCAGUCAUUUUCAGGAAAAAAAAAAAAAAAAGGACACACAAUAAUGUACUUUAAGUUGGUCGUAUAUACAAAAUCAUUUUUCUUAACACUGAAGUAGAAGGGUCAAAUUGAAUAUAGAGAAAACGUAACAGCCCAAUAAUUUCAGAAUGUUGUAGGGAGGGGAGAGCCCAGAGUUUUUAGACAGGUGCACAUAAUUUAAAUUAGAAUGGGAAAUGGGCUCUUAAGUCUAUAAAUAUUGUUUCCCAAGAAAAUAAGUUUCUAAAGUGCAAAAUUACACCUUAAAAGGUCCCCUUUUCACUUCAGCAAGCAAACAACAUCCUAGAACAGAUCCAACUAAACAAAAAAGGGAGGAUUAGAAAUCACACCAUCUCAUCCUUCAUUUUCAGGGCCUGGCUUCAAACCUGGACAUUUCUGAGUGGGCUAUGUUGCAAAAAAGUAUUAAACUAGGUCACUGGAUCCAAGCUGCACAUCCUCUAAGAAAAAGUUGAAGGACAGCUGCCAACUUUUGUUUUUAAAAGUAACCUCUCAAGUAAGAGGUAGUGUAUGCUAGGG
ensembl:lncRNA